AGUGGUCGACGGAGGCGGCAGCAUUCGAGUUGCGCUGCAGGAUUUAUUUUAUCUCGUUGGGACGAUCGCGAUGCGUCGUAAAUCGCGGCUAUCGACAUUGUGCGUAGUUAUCCGGCGUGAGCAUCAAAUCAGGAUGUGCAGGUUCUUAAUUCGUGUGAUUACACUGGUUGGCGCGUGAUUGUAAGUUAGCGGCGUCGCGACGCGUCGAUGCUGUGGUGUCGGCGGUUCGCGGCGAACUUGGCGGAUCGGAUGCACGGCCGCCAGCAUCCCAUCCGUUCGCCCGACUCGGCGUGAUCAUGCGCUUCUUCUCCGGAGAGCGCGCUCCCUGCGUUCCCGUGUGUUCAACAUGCACCCGCAUUUCGGGAAAUGAGAAUCUGGAUUUCCUUUUCAUGCAUAGCACCAUUCAAUGUAUUUUUUUCAAUUGAAUAUUCAGAAUAUUGCCUUUUAGUAAUACGAACAUAAAUUAUUUACUUCCAUAUAUGUUUUAUUGCACUAUAUUUUAUCAAAUUAU